AGUCGAACGAAGUAGCAAUACUUAGUGGCAGACGGGUGAGUAACAUGCAGGUAUCUGCCCUUUGGCCUGGAAUAACACGAGGAAACUUGUGCUAAUACCGGAUAAGUCUUUACGGAGAAAGCUUUAUGCACCAUUGGAUGAGCCUGCACUUGAUUAGUUUGUUGGUGGGGUAAUGGCCUACCAAGACUGUGAUCAAUAGCUGAUUUGAGAGGAUGAUCAGCCACAUUGGGACUGAGACACGGCCCAAACUCCUACGGGAGGCAGCAGUGGGGAAUCUUGCACAAUGGAGGAAACUCUGAUGCAGCGAUGCCGCGCGAGUGAAGAAGGCCCUUGGGUUGUAAAGCUCUUUCGUCGGGGAAGAAAAUGACUGUACCCGAAUAAGAAGGUCCGGCUAACUUCGUGCCAGCAGCCGCGGUAAUACGAAGGGACCUAGCGUAGUUCGGAAUUACUGGGCUCAAAGAGUUCGUAGGUGGUUGAAAAAGUUAGUGGUGAAAUCCCAGAGCUUAACUCUGGAACUGCCAUUAAAACUUUUCAGCUAGAGUAUGAUAGAGGAAAGCAGAAUUUCUAGUGUAGAGGUGAAAUUCGUAGAUAUUAGAAAGAAUACCAAUUGCGAAGGCAGCUUUCUGGAUCAUUACUGACACUGAGGAACGAAAGCAUGGGUAGCGAAGAGGAUUAGAUACCCUCGUAGUCCAUGCCGUAAACGAUGUGUGUUAGACGUUGGAAAUUUAUUUUCAGUGUCGCAGCGAAAGCGAUAAACACACCGCCUGGGGAGUACGACCGCAAGGUUAAAACUCAAAUGAAUUGACGGGGACCCGCACAAGUA
rnacentral:rRNA from 1 species